UACGAAGGGGGGCUAGCGUUGUUCGGAUUUACUGGGCGUAAAGCGCACGUAGGCGGGUUGUUAAGUCAGGGGUGAAAUCCUGGAGCUCAACUCCAGAACUGCCUUUGAUACUGGCAACCUAGAGGCUGGAAGAGGUUAGUGGAAUUCCCAGUGUAGAGGUGAAAAUUCGUAGAUAUUGGGAAGAACACCAGUGGCGAAGGCGGCUAACUGGUCCAGAUCUGACGCUGAGGUGCGAAAGCGUGGGGAGCAAACAGG
rnacentral:rRNA from 1 species